CCUACGGGAGGCUGCAGUGAGGAAUAUUGGUCAAUGGUCGGGAGACUGAACCAGCCAAGCCGCGUGAGGGAUGAAGGUACAGAGUAUCGUAAACCUCUUUUGUCAGGGAACAAAGGCGGGGACGUGUCCCCGGAUGAGUGUACCUGACGAAAAAGCAUCGGCUAACUCCGUGCCAGCAGCCGCGGUAAUACGGAGGAUGCGAGCGUUAUCCGGAUUUAUUGGGUUUAAAGGGUGCGCAGGCGGUCUGUUAAGUCAGCGGUCAAAGCCCGGGGCUUAACCCCGGGCCGGCCGUUGAAACGGGUAGUCUCGAGGGGGAGAGAAGUAUGCGGAAUGCGCGGUGUAGCGGUGAAAUGCAUAGAUAUCGCGCAGAACUCCGAUUGCGAAGGCAGCAUGCCGGCUCCAAACUGACGCUGAGGCACGAAAGCGUGGGUAGCGAACAGGAUUAGAUACCCUUGUAGUC
rnacentral:rRNA from 1 species